CCGCAGGCGGAGCGCGGGACGGCCCGGGAGUGAGCGUGGCGGUCUGCAGGGCCCGCGUUUGGUUUCACGGUCGCUUCUCCGCGAACGCACGCAGGUUCCGGGGCCGUCAUCCGUGUUUAUUCUACAAGCCUCAGGAUGUUCCCGUGUUUUCCAGACUAAUGUUCCCUGAAAUGCUACUAGUUCAAUAGGACAAGAAGUACAGAGAUUCUUCUGGGAGCUGCAAGGCCUGAAGUAACUUACCAAUGAAGAAACCUUGAACUGGACAUCCAGUAACCAACAGGAGCCUGGACCUGGGUCCUGCCACAGAUGACCCUGUAAGUAAGACCUUUGCCUUAGGCAUCAUCUACAUUGUGUUCCU
rnacentral:lncRNA from 1 species